rnacentral:rRNA from 1 species
UACGUAGGGUGCAAGCGUUAUCCGGAAUUAUUGGGCGUAAAGAGCUCGUAGGCGGUUUGUCGCGUCUGCUGUGAAAACCGGAGGCUCAACCUCCGGCCUGCAGUGGGUACGGGCAAACUAGAGUGCGGUAGGGGAGAUUGGAAUUCCUGGUGUAGCGGUGGGAUGCGCAGAUAUCAGGAGGAACACCGAUGGCGAAGGCAGAUCUCUGGGCCGUAACUGACGCUGAGGAGCGAAAGCGUGGGGAGCGAACAGG